GUUGUGGUAGUGUAGUGGUACAAAGUUCUCACUUGGAUGAGUGGAGUAAACGCUGCGAAGCAGGUGACAACGACUGAGGUUCGAUUCCUCACCACAACG